rnacentral:rRNA from 1 species
AGAGUUUGAUCAUGGCUCAGAUUGAACGCUGGCGGCAUGCUUUACACAUGCAAGUCGAACGGGGUGCGGGGGCAACUUCGCAUUCAGUGGCGAACGGGUGAGUAAUGCAUCGGAACGUGUCCCGUAGUGGGGGAUAACGCCGCGAAAGCGGCGCUAAUACCGCAUACGCUCUGAGGAGGAAAGCAGGGGACCCUGGAAGGGGCCUUGUGCUAGGGGGGCGGCCGAUGUCCGAUUAGCUAGUUGGUGGGGUAAUGGCCUACCAAGGCGACGAUCGGUAGCUGGUCUGAGAGGAUGAUCAGCCACACUGGGACUGAGACACGGCCCAGACUCCUACGGGAGGCAGCGGUGGGGAAUUUUGGACAAUGGGGGCAACCCUGAUCCAGCCAUGCCGCGUGCGGGAAGAAGGCCUUCGGGUUGUAAACCGCUUUUAGCCGGGACGAAAGCUGUACGGAUAACACCCGUGCGGGUUGACGGUACCGGCGGAAUAAGCACCGGCUAACUACGUGCCAGCCGCCGCGGUAAUAC